AUUGAACGCUGGCGGCAGGCCUAACACAUGCAAGUCGAACGAGUGGCGGACGGGUGCGUAAUGUCUGGGAAACUGCCCGAUGGAGGGGGGUAACUACUGGAAACGGUAGCUACUACCGCAUACCAUCGGAUGUGCCCAGAUGGGAUUAGCUAGUAGGUGGGGUAACGGCUCACCUAGGCGACGAUCCCUAGCUGGUCUGAGAGGAUGACCAGCCACACUGGAACAGAGACACGGGCCAGACUCCUACGGGACGCAGCAGUGGGGAAUAUUGCACAAUGGGCGCAAGACUGAUGCAGCCAUGCCGCUUGGAUGAAGAAGGCCGUCGGGUUGUAAAGUACUUUCAGCGAGGAGGCGUUACUCGCAGAAGAAGCACCGGCUAACUCCGUGCCAGCAGCCGCGUAAUAC
rnacentral:rRNA from 1 species